AAAAAAAGCAACAAUUUCAACGCAAAACACCAACCAAAAUCCACCAACCGACCCCUAUUCGUAUAACACUGUACAAUAUCAACAACGACUAUUUCAUCAACCACCAAUAAUGACUUCAACAAGCAGACGAAAUUUUCAACCUUCAACAAUACAACAUUGGCAAAAAACAGCUCAUCAACCUCAUCUCAAUUUUUCAAAUUCAAAUCUCAAUUCGUUUUCCCUUUUUAACCCUCUGCUUUCCCCAAAAAUAACCCCAAAUUCUUCGAUAAAUACUCACCUAUGUAGAGAGAAAAGGAGGAGGAUUUUUGGGAAAAAAUUUGAGAAUUCGAGAGGCACGUGCUUCUAAUCCUACAUAACCAAAAAUUCUCGAAGAAACGGACUGAAGAGUUCGAUUUCAACAAAAAUUAAACUCCAAAUUUAGUGUUGAAAGUUUCUUCGUCAAGGCUCGUCGUCGAGUUCGCUGCUUUUUCGACUUCCAUCCCUCACAUUCCAUUGGGUUAAACCCAAUUUGUAUCUAGUCAAGACCCAUGCCAUAUCGACAAAAUAGAUCAAUAUACCAUGGACAGAUGCUGGGAUACAUAGUAAUCAGCAGAUAUACACAGAUAUUUGGCAAUAUAUGAGAAGAAGGAAGUUGAUUAUUCAGCUGGAGGAUCAAAGGGGGCGUAUAUGACUGAUUUUCAGUCACGUAUACGUCAAUUAUGCAAAAAAUGUGAAGAAUUGAGCUGUGAUAUACAGCUGAUAUACACAGCUGAAAGAGGGCUGAGAAAAGUUCAUUUAAAUAGAACCAAAACCAAUGCUGUCCAGAUUUGAAAAUUGGUUAAAAAAAGGGGCCCAAAUCCCAACUUCAAUUAUUGUAUUAAUUUUUGUAACUUAAUCUUUGUUUAUUUGUAUUAAUUAACUUGUAAAUCAACUAAUCUAGGUAAAUUUCCUAAGAUGUUGUCCUUUUUAUUUUA